rnacentral:lncRNA from 1 species
CUGACUACUUCUCUGUAGUCUGUAGCGGCAGAUGAAGAGCCUCACGGGGAAGUGUUCCUGGUUUCCUCUUUGCUUUGACUAACAGUGCCUGAACCUAAUGGAGAGAUUCAGGAAAUAUGUUGUAAGUGGAAGGCAGCUGCUGGAGUUCAGGAGAAAUAGUCUUUGCUUAUCUUUUUUUACCCCACGGUGCUGUGACUAUGGAGAAAAAUGUUGUAUGCACGGUUCAACAGUACCUCCGUAACCGCAAGUGUAGUCAGUAUGUGGGACGGGAGGCUGUCUCACACUAACCUCUAGCCUGUUUCCAGGCAAACUUACCUUACUGGGUUGUGUGUUUGUCUCUGCAGGCUGCUCUAGUCCUCUUGGGGAGCUAAUUGGCUAUAAAUAUUAAAGCAGUUUUGAUAGACGGUUUUAAUUUCAGUGUUCUUAGUUUCAGAAAUUAAAAUUUGGGGU